rnacentral:miRNA from 1 species
UCCCUGAGAUCAUAAUAUGCCU